GUCCCUGUAGCUCAGCUGGAUAGAGCAACUGCCUUCUAAGCAGUGGGUCGGGAGUUCGAGUCUCCCCAGGGACGCCA
rnacentral:tRNA from 1 species